GACGAACGCUGGCGGCGUGCCUAACACAUGCAAGUCGAACGGAAAGGCCCUGCUUUUGUGGGGUGCUCGAGUGGCGAACGGGUGAGUAACACGUGAGUAACCUGCCCUUGACUGUGGGAUAACUUCAGGAAACUGGGGCUAAUACCGGAUAGGAGCUCCUGCUGCAUGGUGGGGGUUGGAAAGUUUCGGCGGUUGGGGAUGGACUCGCGGCUUAUCAGCUUGUUGGUGGGGUAGUGGCUUACCAAGGCUUUGACGGGUAGCCGGCCUGAGAGGGUGACCGGCCACAUUAGGCCUGCGGGAGGGACCAGACUGCAACGGGAGGCAGCGGUCGGAAGUAUUACACAGUGAGCGGGAGCGUGAUACGGAGGCGCCGCGUUCGGGAUGACGGCUUUCGGGUUGUAAACCGCUUUGGCCUGUGACGAAGCGUGAGUGACGGUAAUGGGUAAAGAAGCACCGGCUAACUACGUG
rnacentral:rRNA from 1 species